rnacentral:lncRNA from 1 species
UUCACACUGCCCUGACCUCAGCAUGGUUUCCGUGGCCUCCGCCAUCUUGGAUUGUUGAGCAAAUGCCUUGACAAAUCUCGUGGAGCUGAAAGCUGGAGGCUCUCUUCUCUCAUUGUCUCCCACUGCUUGUGUCCUUUUGGGCAGACUUGUGGCCAGGCC